rnacentral:lncRNA from 1 species
ACUCUGCAGGAAGUAAAAGAAACACUUUUGAACGAUGCAGGAAACAAAAAAAAAAUCAGAAAUCGACGUGCUGCUGAGAGUGUGAGAGCUGAGCACCCCCCAGGCCCUCCAGGCACCCAGGCUGUGAAAAAUCCAUAUUUUAUGAGAUUUCACCUGGGGCUGCCUCGCUCUGCUCCCAUGAAAAUGAGAUUUCGUUGGAGAUUUCCUCGGGAAAAGGGAACCGAGGCCCCCCAACGGCUGCAAAAAGGACAAAGGAAGGGGAAAAAACGCUCCAAAAAAAUCAGGUG